rnacentral:rRNA from 1 species
UCGUCAGCUCGUGUCGUGAGAUGUUGGGUUAAGUCCCGCAACGAGCGCAACCCUUGCUAUUAGUUGCUACGCAAGAGCACUCUAAUAGGACUGCCGUUGACAAAACGGAGGAAGGUGGGGACGACGUCAAAUCAUCAUGCCCCUUAUGACCUGGGCUACACACGUACUACAAUGGUCAUUAACAGAGGGAAGCAAAGCCGCGAGGCAGAGCAAAACCCUAAAAAUGGUCUCAGUUCAGAUUGCAGGCUGCAACUCGCCUGCAUGAAGAUGGAAUUGCUAGUAAUCGCAGAUCAGCAUGCUGCGGUGAAUACGUUCCCGGGCCUUGUACACACCGCCCGUCACACCAUGGGAGCCGGUAAUACCCGAAGUCAGUAGUUUAACCGCAAGGGGAACGCUGCCGAAGGUAGGAUUGGCGACUGGGGUGAAGUCGUAACAAGGUAACCGUA